rnacentral:ncRNA from 1 species
UAUCUGGUUGAUCCUGCCAGUAGUCAUAUGCUUGUCUCAAAGAUUAAGCCAUGCAUGUCUAAGUAUAAGCAAUUUAUACAGUGAAACUGCGAAUGGCUCAUUAAAUCAGUUAUCGUUUAUUUGAUAGUACCUUUACUACUUGGAUAACCGUGGUAAUUCUAGAGCUAAUACAUGCUAAAAAUCCCGACUUCUGGAAGGGAUGUAUUUAUUAGA